GCCUCGGUGGCGUAGUGGUCAAUAUGCUCGCCUGGUAAACAGGAGGGCGUGGGUUCAAUCCCAGCCGAGGCA
rfam:Asian citrus Psyllid, Diaphorina citri - Florida Strain, whole genome shotgun sequence.